rnacentral:lncRNA from 1 species
CCCAUCUCUACUAAAAAUACAAAAAUUAGCUUGGCGUGGUGGCACAUGCCUGUAAUCCCAGCUACAGGGGGCAGGCUGAGGCAGGAGAAUCGCUUGAACCAGGGAGGCAGAGGUUGCAGUGAGCCAAGAUUGUGCCACUGCACUCCAUCCUGACAAUAGAGCUAGACUCUGUCAAAAAAAGAAAAAAAAGAAAAGAAAAGGAAGGAGGGAGAAAAGAGAAAAGGGAACACAGGAAGAAAGAAAGAGAGAGGAAGGAAGGAAGGAAGGAAGGAAGGGAAGGAAGGAGAGGGAAGGGAACGGAAAGGGGGAAGGAAGGAAGGAGAAGAGGGGGAGGGAAGGGGUAAGGAAGGAAGGAAGGAAGGAGAGAAGAAAAGAAAAAGAAAGGAAGGAAGGAGAAAGAAAAAGGAACACAUUGGUUCACAAAACAGUAUUCUACAAUGUUGAUGUGGUGGCUUCAGGCACAGCUGGAUCUAGAGGUUUAUAUGUCAUCCUCGAACUUGAUCAUUAUCUUCGUUCCUUGCUCUUUUUGUUUAUGUACCACUUCCCUCUCAGCAUCUCUCUCCAUAAGGCUGUGAAAAGGCCACUGUCAGCUCCAAGACCACAUCAUCUUUAUAGUUUGUGAACCUGGAGAAAGAGCACUUUCCCCAAAGGCCUUGGUGAAAGUCCCAUGGAGGAAUGCAACUGGCCUGGCUUGGAUCAUGUGCCCAUCUCUGAAUCAACUGCUGUAGCUGGGGUUGGCAAACUCUGAUUAGCCAGCCUUGGGCCACAUAACCACCCCUGGGAGGGACACAGGGAAGACAGGGCUAACCCUUCUCCAAAUAUGGACUGAGCAGCAUUUAUUACACAAUGUGAGAAGGCCUGUUUGCUAGACAGACCAACAAAAAUCAAGCCUAUACUGCAGUGUAAAGUUUGCUUCAUGUUGUGUAGUUCAGGGUCGUAGCCAUUUUUUUUGUUGUUGUUUCAUUGAUGAAAUUUACUUCUCUGUUUUUCAUUCUUUGCUGCUUUCAUUGGAUUACUGGAGAAUGCCUUUGUGCCUUUAACCAGAAGCCCUCUUUUCUUAUUUUUGAUUCCAACAAUACUAAGAGCACUCAAUAGUUUAUUAGUAAGGCUUUCAAGCCUUAGUCAUCAUUCCACAAUCUACAGUGAGGGCUAGAAGGAGAUGGGAGUAAAAGAGCAGAGUUAUUUCCAUUUUAUACAUUAGAAAACUGAGCCCCUGAAAGUGUUAAGAUACUUGCCAAAUACAGCUAAAUCAAGUGGCUGAGAGAGAACCAAACCUAAAUCCAGAGAUUCUGGCUCCUCAGGAAGAGUCCCUGACUCUCCAUAACAACUGGCUGUUCUUGGGCUUUCCUCCUAAAGAUCACAUUUCCAAACCAUGAUAGUUUGAACAUUUACACGGAAAGCCUUAACAGAUUUUUAAAGCAGGUAAAGAGAUUCAUCUGCUUUGAAAGAGAUUCCAUGGAUGGAUGGAUGGAUGGAUGGAUGGGUGGACGAACAGGUGGGUGAAUAGACAGAUGGAUGACUGCGUGGGUGGGUGGGUGGGUGGACGGAUGGAUAGAUGGGUAGAUGGGUGGGUGGAUAGGUUAAUGAAUAGAUGGAUGAAUAGAUAAAUGGGUGGAUGGAUGGGGGAUGGGUGAAUGGGUGCAUGGAUAGGUGGAUGGGUAGACGAAUGGGUAGAUGGGUAUAUGGAUGGAUGAAUGGAUGGGUGGAUAGGUGGAUGGGUAGGUGCUAGCUGCAUGGGUAGACGGAUGGGUAGAUAUAUGGAUGGGUGGAUGGGUAGAUGGAUGGAUAGAUGGAUGGAUGAAUGGAUGGGUGGAUAGGUGGAUGGAUGGGUGAAUGGGUGGAUGGAUGGGGAGAUAUAUGGAUGGGUGGAUGGGCAGAUAGAUGGAUGGGUGGAUAGGUGGGUGGAUGGGUGAAUGGGUGGAUAGAUGGGUAGAUAUAUAGAUGAGCGGAUGGAUGGAUGGAUGGAUGAAUGGAUGGGUGGAUGACAGAUGGGUGGGUAGGUAGAUGGAUGGGUGGAUGGAUGGGCAGAUGAGUGGAUGAGUAGAUGGGUGAAUGGGUAGAUGGAUAGGUGGAUGCGUAUGAGGAUGGAUGGAUGGAUGGGC